rnacentral:rRNA from 1 species
GCAGGCUUAACACAUGCAAGUCGAGCGGUAACAGGGGGUGCUUGCACCCCGCUGACGAGCGGCGGACGGGUGAGUAAUGCAUAGGAAACUGCCCAGUAGUGGGGGAUAGCCCGGGGAAACCCGGAUUAAUACCGCGUACGCCCUUCGGGGGAAAGCAGGGGAUCUUCGGACCUUGCGCUAUUGGAUGUGCCUAUGUCGGAUUAGCUAGUUGGUGGGGUAAAGGCCUACCAAGGCGACGAUCCGUAGCUGGUCUGAGAGGAUGAUCAGCCACAUCGGGACUGAGACACGGCCCGAACUCCUACGGGAGGCAGCAGUGGGGAAUAUUGGACAAUGGGGGCAACCCUGAUCCAGCCAUGCCGCGUGUGUGAAGAAGGCUUUCGGGUUGUAAAGCACUUUCAGUGAGGAGGAAAACUCUGCGACUAAUACUCGUAGGGCUUGACGUUACUCACAGAAGAAGCACCGGCUAACUCCGUGCCAGCAGCCGCGGUAAUACGGAGGGUGCAAGCGUUAAUCGGAAUUACUGGGCGUAAAGCGCGCGUAGGUGGUUUGAUAAGCGAGAUGUGAAAGCCCCGGGCUUAACCUGGGAACGGCAUUUCGAACUGUCAGGCUAG